UACGAAGGGGGCUAGCGUUGUUCGGAUUUACUGGGCGUAAAGCGCACGUAGGCGGACUAUUAAGUCAGGGGUGAAAGCCCGGGGCUCAACCCCGGAGGUGCGGCCGGGACUGCUUGGCUGGAGGCCGGAAGAGGAGGGUGGAAUACCCAGUGUAGAGGUGAAAUUCGUAGAUAUUGGGUGGAACACCGGUGGCGAAAGCGGCUCUCUGGUCCGGACCUGGACGCUGAGGCGCGAAAGCGUGGGGAGCAAACAGG
rnacentral:rRNA from 1 species